rnacentral:rRNA from 1 species
CGAUAAGCUUGAUUCCUACGGGAGGCAGCAGUGGGGAAUAUUGGACAAUGGGCGCAAGCCUGAUCCAGCCAUGCCGCGUGAUUGAUGAAGGCCUUAGGGUUGUAAAGCUCUUUCGCACGCGACGAUAAUGACGGUAGCGUGAGAAGAAGCCCCGGCUAACUUCGUGCCAGCAGCCGCGGUAAUA